GGGUGUGAGGGCGAUCUGGCUGCAACAUCUGUCACCCCUCUGAUUGCCAGGGUUGAUUCGGCUGAUCUGGCUGGCUAGGCGGGUGUGCCCUUCCUCCAUCAACGCUCCAUGUGCGUCCCUCUGGAAGCUGCGCAGUCGGUGGAAGAGGACGACCAUCCCGGAUAGAGGAGGACCGUUCUCUGUCAAGGUGUACAUGCAGCUGCGCUCCCUGCUAGACCCUCCAAACGAGCUCUCGGAGAGUGGUUCUGCUGAGAGCCUGCCUUGUUCCAACACCAAACACGGUGUCCCGUGGUGUACCGCACGGG
rnacentral:snRNA from 1 species